rnacentral:RNase_P_RNA from 1 species
UCGGGUAAUCGCUGCAAUCACAUUAUGUGUUUGUAGAGGAAAGUCCAUGCUCGCACAAGCUGAGAUGCUUGUAGUGUUCGUGCCUAGUGAAAAAAUAAGCUAGGGCAGUCUGGAAGACUGACGGCCGGGAAACUACCUAAGUCCGUUAUGGAUAUGGUACAACCCUAUAAAAGUGCCACAGUGACGAAGCCUUUUCAGAAAUGAGAAGGGUGGAACGGGUAAACCCCACGAGCGAGAAACCCAAAUAUAGGUAGGGGCACCUUUCACCUUGGAAAUGAACGAGGUAAAGGACAAGUUAAUACUUGUAGAUAGAUGAUUGCCGCCUUUGUACGAGAUUAUUUAUAAUCAUUUGCAGUACGAAGGAACAAAACAUGGCUUAUAG